rnacentral:rRNA from 1 species
UACGUAGGGGGCAAGCGUUGUCCGGAAUCAUUGGGCGUAAAGAGCGUGUAGGCGGCCCGAUAAGUCCGCUGUGAAAGUCCAGGGCUCAACCCUGGAAUGCCGGUGGAUACUGUCGGGCUCGAAUCCGGAAGAGGAGAAUGGAAUUCCUGGUGUAGCGGUGAAAUGCGCAGAUAUCAGGAAGAACACCCGUGGCUAAGGCGGUUCUCUAGUACGGUACUGACGCUGAGACGCGAAAGCGUGGGGAGCGAACAGG